AACGGCCGCGGUAUCCUAACCGUGCAAAGGUAGCAUAAUCAUUUGCCUAUUAAUUGUAGGCUAGAAUGAAGGGGUUAACGAAAUAAAAACUGUCUCAAUUAGCAAACUAAAAAUUAUUAUCUACUUGAAGAAAAGUGGAUAACCUCGAAGGACAAGAAGACCCUAUAGAGCUUAAUUUUAAUUAUAAAGUCAUACUAUAUAAAUAUUCGGUUGGGGCGACCCAGGGAUAAUUAAUCACCCACUAAAUAAAAGAUAAAUAAAUCAAAUAACUGACCCUUAAAAGAUCAUAAGACCAAGCUACCUUAGGGAUAACAGGCUAAUCCCACUUAAGAGUCCUUAUCAACAGUGGGGUUUGGCACCUCGAUGUUGGCUUAGG
rnacentral:rRNA from 1 species